GUCUACAGCCAUACCACCCUGAACAAGCCCGAUCCUGUCUGAUCUCAAAGCUAAGCAGGGUCAGGCCUGGUUAGUACUUGAAUGGGAGACCACUUAGGAAGACCAGGUACUUUAGGUG
rnacentral:rRNA from 1 species